rnacentral:lncRNA from 1 species
GCGGAGUCAAGCCGCGCGGGCGGCCGUUGGCCGGGCUGCACGUUCCCGCGCCUGCCGAGGGGAGGCUGGCGCGCGCUGCCCCUUACCGGCCAUCACGUGCUUUAAUCCCAGGUCCCAGAAACAAAGACAAGGUUUUCAUCUCAAGGCCAAAAGACAAAAAACAUCAAGACACUUGAUCACGGCCUUGGAUAGACCAAGAGACUACCUACACUUGACCAGAGCUACAGACCACGGAGAGAGUCACUGCUGCACAGGCUCUGCAGCCCAUUCUCAAUUCUACUCAGUGCACUUAAAAAUAUAUAUUGUAGUGUUUCCUUUUCUGUAAACAGUGACAAACGAUCAUGCUUGUAUGGAUAAAACUGUGCCUACUAAACAAUGGCAUCCUAUAUUAAAAACUGCAUGGCAAAUGUGCAGCUGCUCAAUGACAG